rnacentral:rRNA from 1 species
UACGUAGGGGGCAAGCGUUGUCCGGAUUUAUUGGGCGUAAAGAGCGUGUAGGCGGCCAUACAGGUCAGCUGUGAAAACUCGAGGCUCAACCUCGAGACGUCGGUUGAAACCGUAUGGCUAGAGUCCGGAAGAGGAGAGUGGAAUUCCCGGUGUAGCGGUGAAAUGCGCAGAUAUCGGGAAGAACACCCGUGGCGAAGGCGGCUCUCUGGGACGGUACUGACGCUGAGGAGCGAAAGCGUCGGGGAGCAAACAGG